AUGCUCACUUUGGCAGCACAUAUGCUAAAAUUAGAAUGAUACAGAGAAUAUUAGCAUGGCCCCUGUGCAAGGAUGACAUGGAAAUUCAUAAAGCAUUUCAUAUUUUU
ensembl:snRNA U6 U6 spliceosomal RNA